rnacentral:lncRNA from 1 species
GCUGACUCUGGGCAUUAGUAGCCAAAUGGAAGUUAGAACAAAAGAAAAAAGACCAUUAAGUAGCCCUCCUCAGGGAGCAGCACAGGAAAAAAGAGGCAGGAGGCAGGAGAGAUUUAUUUCCCUAAACACUCUAAACAAACGCCGCAGAUUCUGACUUCUUGGGCCAGGGCUGGAGGUUUCCAUGGGGAGAACUGCUUCAAAAAAGGUCAUGUUAAGUAACAGUCUCCAUGUGGCAGAGAAUAUGGCUAUGAACAGGUCAGAUUCCCAUCUUUACCACUAAAGUUGAAAGGACAUAGCAUCAACACAACCAACACCCAAGACUGAAACAUUCUGGGGAAGGAUUCUGAUGCAUACCCACCCUCGGACUCAACAAUGGGCUGGCGAAGUGCUGCAAAUGGUCCACCUCCUGCUGGUUUGAAGGGGAUGGAAAGGGCUUAGGAUCCAUUAUGGAACCACAUGGAAGGAUUUGAGGAGUAGUUUUCCAAAGAAAGGUGCCGUUAACAGAAAAACAUAAAGGCAGUUGUAUUAUAAUGGAAAUAACAAUAACUGUUCAUUAUUCUUAGAUGCAGAGGUGUGGACUCAGACUUCGCUCAAGUGUGGCUGAAUCAGAGGCCCUUGGGAAUGUCUGCAUUUCCAUGUGACUUCUAAUUCAUUUAAAAACAAUCAUUUCUGCCCUACCAUCUUUAUGAUUCUUUCAAAUGUGGUAACAGUUUUCAAAAAAUUAAAAUUCCUCGAUAUGAUUUGUGACUAUUUCAAAAGGCAAAGCUUUGUACUAUUUAUAAGGAUAAAUAUGUAUACAAGCUAAGUAAAUUGUAUGCAACACUUUGACCUUCUAAGGAGAAAAAGCACUUUUCAAGUGUUUCAAUAGUAGUACUUUAAAAACCAAACUUUAAGUGUGAAGUAUAUACUAAAUAUAAAUUUUUCAAGUUAUUUAUUAAAGCAGAUAUAAAAAGCCUUUGGCUGGUAGAAAAUUCUAUUAAGAUUUUUCAUGCUCCUAUAACAAAACAAUUAUACCAAAAUCUUUCAUA